rnacentral:lncRNA from 1 species
AUCUGAAGUGGGACGUCUAGUCCUUUUUAACAUUGCCUUGAAAGCAGGCUAAGUGUUCAGGAAUCAAAGAAAGCCCUGCAAGACUAGUGCCAGGGUUCCUUCUCCGUCCAAGGACAGUGCUUUGGUGAUCUUGGCGAGAGCUGGAUGGUAGACAAGACAUUUCUAGGGGGCUGAGAAGCUACUGGAUCUUUGGUUUUCCUGCCCAUGACCAAGGGUGUGAGACUCUUCACACUCUCCCAGGAUUUGACCAGGAUGCACUUUGGAAAGAUGUGCCAUGUUCAGUUAUACAUGGGACCGUGCAAGAGAUGCUUUACUGAGGAGAGCCCUGUAGCACCUCUUCCUGGAAGUGUGGUUCCCUGGUGAAGUUCACUGGGGAUGAUUCCGGCUUGAUUCAACCCAGUGCCUGCAAAUCCUGUUCUGGAAAUACCUUGGAAGAGAAGACAGAAGGAAGGUAAGAGCUGGAGGGUGAAGACGAAGGAUGUGAAAUUCCAUUUUCUGGACAUGACACGGCUGUCGGAAUCAUGAACUCGUGGCAGCUGUGGCUACCUGAACAAGGUCUACACAAGGUGAGGCCAGCUGAAGUCCUGCCUCACCUGCCUGGGUAGGUGAUCUCCAGGCCCCACUCCAUGCUGAGGAGCUUUUGGUAGUGGGUAUUUCCUGGACAAAUACCUUUAUUGAGGGUAUGGCCACCUGUAGUUUUCCAUGCUCCAGUGGAUGUUCCCAAAUCCAUGCAGACAGCAUUAACUGGACUUAGUGGGUUAUUAAAAAAAAAAAGGUAUGAAUUUGGGUCAUGUUGGGAUACAUAAGAGGAUUAGAGGGAGAGACAUGGAUAUGAUUGUAUUUCAUUGGCUAUGUGUAUGAAAG